ACACUCCUGCGGGAGGCAGCAGUGGGGAAUAUUGCACAAUGGGCGCAAGCCUGAUGCAGCCAUGCCGCGUGUAUGAAGAAGGCCUUCGGGUUGUAAAGUACUUUCAGCGGGGAGGAAGGCGAUAAGGUUAAUAACCUUGUCGAUUGACGUUACCCGCAGAAGAAGCACCGGCUAACUCCGUGCCAGCAGCCGCGGUAAUACGGAGGGUGCAAGCGUUAAUCGGAAUUACUGGGCGUAAAGCGCACGCAGGCGGUCUGUCAAGUCGGAUGUGAAAUCCCCGGGCUCAACCUGGGAACUGCAUUCGAAACUGGCAGGCUAGAGUCUUGUAGAGGGGGGUAGAAUUCCAGGUGUAGCGGUGAAAUGCGUAGAGAUCUGGAGGAAUACCGGUGGCGAAGGCGGCCCCCUGGACAAAGACUGACGCUCAGGUGCGAAAGCGGGGGGAGCAAACAGGAUUAGAAACCCGUGUAGUCCCA
rnacentral:rRNA from 1 species